UACGAACCGGCCAAACGUUAUUCGGAAUCAUUGGGCUUAAAGAGUGCGUAGGCGGCGCCGUAAGUCGGGUGUGAAAUCCCUCGGCUCAACCGAGGAACUGCGCCCGAUACUGCGGCGCUCGAGGGAGACAGGGGUGAGCGGAACUGAUGGUGGAGCGGUGAAAUGCGUUGAUAUCAUCAGGAACACCGGUGGCGAAAGCGGCUCACUGGGUCUCUUCUGACGCUGAGGCACGAAAGCUAGGGUAGCGAACGGG
rnacentral:rRNA from 1 species